rnacentral:rRNA from 1 species
AUGGCCUACUUCGACGAGAAAGCGAAGGAAGAUCCAGAUUUCUUCUAAAGGAUAAGGUUGGACGAUGAGGACCGUGUCAGGAACAUGUAUUGGGUGGAUGGUGCUGCAAGGAGAGCCUACAAACAUUUCCGAGAUUGCAUUUCAUUUGACGCGACGUAUCUCACUAAUAUGUACAAGAUGCCAUGCGCUCCAUUCAUAGGAAUAAAUAACCACAAUCAGUCAUUGCACUUCGGCUGUGGGCUUAUUUGAAACGAAGACAUGGAUGGAUACGUUUGGCUGUUCAAGACCUUUUUGGAGUGCAUGGAUGGACUUGCUCCGAUGAACAUAAUAAUAGACCAGGAUUUCAACAUGCGUGCAGGCAUAGAGGAGGUCUUUCCGUUGGCAGUGCACAGGCACUGCAGGUGGCACAUUAUAAAGAAGGCCGAGGAGACGCUAGGACCGUUCUUUGCUGACCGUCCAGAGCUCCACAAGGCAUUCGAGCUGUGCGUGGACCAUAGCUUGACGGUGGAGGAGUUUGAAAGGAGCUGGAUGACCAUGAUUGAAACAUAUCAAGUCCAAGACAACGAGACGCUUGCUAGCCUAUGGGAGAAGCGAAUGUACUGGGUGCCGGCCUACUUCAUGCAGUGCUUCUUCCCCUUUCUGCAGACUACGCAACGCGGCGAGGGGUUCAAUGCUGUUUUGAAGCGGUACGUGAGCCCUGGCAACUCAUUGCUACAGUUUGCCAAGCAAUACACAACUUUGCAACAAAAAAUUCUGGGAUUUGAGCUACAACAAGAAGUGACCACCGCGCUAAAGCAGCCAAAAUUGCUAACGUAUUUACCGAUGGAGAGGCAAAUGAGCAAGAUAUACACCAACAAGAUCUUUAACAAGUAA